rnacentral:other from 1 species
ACGGUUGAAAAUCAACACAUUGAUUUAUAAGCAUGGAAAUCCCCUGAGUGAAAACAACGAAUUGCUGUGUGUAGUUCUUGCCCGUCUCCUACGAUGGGCUUUUUUAACU